GGAAAUUUUACUUUAACAUUAUUAAUGAAUAAUUCGAAAGAUAAUAAAAAUAGGAAAAAUUUAAAUAUUUAAAUAUUUUUGAAUCAAAAUAAAGCACAAUAUAAUCUAUUGAAAAUCAUGAAAAUCUUUGAAGUUUCUGGUUAGGCACACCAAAAUGGAUCAUGCUACUGAGUAUUUACCAAUGGAAACGUACAAUCGAAUUAUUAAAAAAAGAGAUUAUAUAUUUAAGCGAUUCUGUCGCCCUUUUAUUGCAACUAAUAAUUCUAUUUGCGAGAAUUGGUCUAGUGAAUCUUUUUUUAUACUGUUUUUUUAAUGUAUUUAUUUUUAUUUGAAAACAUCCAAAGGUAAAAAAAAAAAAAAAUACAAAAUAAUGAUGGAUAUAAACUGCAAACAAAUUGAACAAGGAAUUUGGUAAAAAAUCACGCAUGGAAAACUACAAAAGAUUCGGGGGAACGCAUUCAUGCUCGCUUAAUGUCAGAAACAUAAAGGCAGGGACGUUGAUUAAUGUUUUGUGAUAGAAUUUGCUGGAAUUCAUUACUUUUUAUUGAGAGCAUCAUAGUGCGACUCUUUUAUUGGUAUAACGAAGUCAAAACGACUACGGCAUCGGGCACGUUUCAUGAUAUAACAUUGACGUGAUAAUAUUAUGCGAGUUUGAUGAAAUUAAAGUAGUACGAGCGUCUUAAACUAAAUUUUUCGAUAUUUGUUCAUUUGUAUAAAAAAAAAAAAUUAACUUAAGAUAGAAGUAUAUCUCAAUUCAUUUUAAUAGUUUCAUAAACUUUUGGCUUUAUGGAUUUGUUUAUCUUGACCCCAGAAAUUUCCAUUUAAGAAUAUAUAUAGAUGAGGAUUUAAAAGAUUAAGUUUGCAGUACUUACCUGAUUGAAAAACUACAUUAACAAAGAAAUUAUUACUUUGAGGAAACAAUUAUUUAUGAUUUAUCUAUGGACGUAUUAUAAUACAAAAGAAUUUUUAUAUUAGUAUAUUUUUCCUGUAUCUAUGGAAAUGCUUAGGAUAAUAAAUGUAUUGGUCAACUUUAGAAUACCGUUAGAUUAAGUAUUUCCAAUAAUAUGGUUAAAAUAAUGAAAAUAUAUUAUAGGAAAUAUUUCGGUCCUCGACCUCUUAAGGACUAUACACUGUGAUUCAUCGGUUAACGAAUGCAAUUUCGUUGUGUGAUCAUGAUUCUUCAGUUGAUAUAAUAAACAAGUUUGUAUCAUCUGGUUUAGAAAUAUGCAUGCUGAAACGACGAUUAAAAUAAUAUCUAGCAUUUAUGCAUAUGUUGUUAUAAACCCAUGAAGAAAAAAGAUAUAAUAUAAAAAUUGAAAUAAUUCUAAGUUGAAUUGUUACAAAGAAAAAUUGUUACAUUUAAAAUAAAAAUCGCAUACUGCAAACAGAAUAAAAUUUAAAAAAAUAUAUUUAAAAAUCAAUCUAAUCUUUUCAUUGAUAAAUUACGAUAAUUGUAAGUUGUUA